rnacentral:rRNA from 1 species
CGUUCCCAUACCGAACACGGAAGUUAAGCUUCUCAGCGCCGAUGGUAGUUGGGACACGCGUCCCUGUGAGAGUAGGACGUUGCCAGGC